UCCCUGGAGGUCUAGUGGUUAAGACUCCAUGUUUCCACUGCAGAUAGCACAGGUUCAAUCCUUGCCCAGGGAA
rnacentral:tRNA from 1 species